rnacentral:rRNA from 1 species
AUUGAACGCUGGCGGCAGGCCUAACACAUGCAAGUCGAACGAGUGGCGGACGGGUGAGUAAUGCUUGGGAACCUAGCUUAUGGAGGGGGAUAACUAGGGGAACCUGUAGCUAAUACCGCGUACCAUAGGAUGAGCCCAAGUGGGAUUAGGUAGUGGGUGAGGUAAAGGCUCACCAAGGCGACGAUCUCUAGCUGGUCUGAGAGGAUGACCAGCCACACUGGGACGGAGACACGGCCCAGACUCCUACGGGAGGCAGCAGUGGGGAAUAUUGGGCAAUGGGCGAAACCUGACGCAGCCAUGCCGCGUGAAUGAAGAAGGCCUUCGGGUUGUAAAGUUCUUUCGGUAGCGAGGCGUUAUCUACAGAAGAAGCAACGGCUAACUCCGUGCCAGCCGCCGCGGUAAUAC